rnacentral:rRNA from 1 species
AUUGAACGCUGGCGGCAUGCCUUACACAUGCAAGUCGAACGGUAACGCGGGGCAACCUGGCGACGAGUGGCGAACGGGUGAGUAAUGUAUCGGAACGUGCCCAGUUGUGGGGGAUAACUGCUCGAAAGAGCAGCUAAUACCGCAUACGACCUGAGGGUGAAAGCGGGGGAUCGCAAGACCUCGCGCAAUUGGAGCGGCCGAUAUCAGAUUAGGUAGUUGGUGGGGUAAAGGCCCACCAAGCCAACGAUCUGUAGCUGGUCUGAGAGGACGACCAGCCACACUGGGACUGAGACACGGCCCAGACUCCUACGGGAGGCAGCAGUGGUGAAUUUUGGACAAUGGACGCAAGUCUGAUCCAGCCAUGCCGCGUGCGGGAAGAAGGCCUUCGGGUUGUAAACCGCUUUUGUCAGGGAAGAAAAGGGCGACUUUAAUACAGUUGCCUCAUGACGGUACCUGAAGAAUAAGCACCGGCUAACUACGUGCCAGCAGCCGCGGUAACAC